rnacentral:lncRNA from 1 species
UUCCUUUUACAGCUAGACAAUUGACAAAUAAGCUGGGUAUAUAAAGAACAUAAGGUAUGAGUUGUCAUUAACAAAUAAGCUGGGUAUAUAAAGAACAUAAGGUAUGAGUUGUCAUUAGCAUAAAAGUCAUAUUAUCAACGAGGGAAAUUGGCACAACCAGACAUCUCAAACAUUGAUAAACAUUGAUAAGGGAAGAAUUAGGCCUUCAUUAGGAUAUUCCUUUCAUCCGCAUGGCAAGGCUUGCCAGUUUCCUGGAGUACACUCGCAUCUGGUUUGAUUCCAAGUAGGUCCUCCCCUAAAGUCGCUUUCAUGUUACCAAGAGGCACGGAUUUAAGCUGUGGAAAUAACGUCUAGUAAAAAUGACCCCUGCAUCGGGGGAGCUUUGGUGUACUGCACUCAAAUAGGUCGAGUAAAGCUGUUCAUCGAAGCUAGUAUGAUGGCUUCGUAGUGAGUGUUGUUGUUGGGAUUUGGAUAUGGAAUCUCCAGGUUGUUACUCGUAUGACUCAACGCUUAACCACCCUUUUAGGACAAUGAAACUUUAUUAUUGCUUCUAGCAAGUUUCUUUUUCCGAUGUGCUAGUUUGUUCAGGGUGUUAACUGUUUAUUCUGAGUAGAGAAUGCAUAAAUAUCAGCCAGUUGCCAGCUUAUUGAAAUUAUACUUUUUGUUUGUUACCUUUGCUACCAUCUGAUAGUUACACGUGGGAAUUUGGAAGGUUUUAUCUGCAUCAUCAACAUAAACUCUCUUAAACUGCAAGUUUGAAUUACACAUAAUUAUUGGUAAUUUUGAAAACGAAAGAGAUUCAUGGUCUACAAAAUGUUACAGAAUUUUGAAGCUAGGGCUUGGGGGCGUGUAUUUCUUCAUUUUGUGUCCCGUUUUCUCUAAAAUAGAUAAGUUUCUUCACUAUACUGAACUAAGCUUACAAAUUUUUCAACUUCCUAUGACUAGUGAUAAAUUUGCAGCAAAAGCAGUCAUUUUGCUUAAUUGAUUUCUGCAGUGGGCUAGUAGCCGAGGCUGAUAUAGAACUUUUUCAGCUUUUAUAGAUAUCAUAUCUUUCGUCUACUGCUGCCUCUGGAAAUUUGUUCCAACUUCCAGAAUGUAGGAAGCAAGAUCAAGUCUGUAAUAUAGCUAAGCUGUUACAACUUUUGGAUCUCAUUGAAUACUCCUUUAUCAAUUUGGAGAAGAAAGAAUCCUCUCUUUCCAAUAGCUUUGCUGGUGUGUCAUAUUCGGCUAUUCUUCCUGUUAAAGGGCAAGUGAAGGAAUUCACAUAUAGAAUUAGAUGCUUAUUCAAUUCAGUAGGAUAAAGAGAUUUAGAUGCAAUAAAAUUUUACCUUCAUUCAAGACUAAGAUAAGGUCACUAUCAAUGACGGUGUGGAUUCUAUGAGCUAUUGUCACAACUGUUCUAUUUCUGAACUCUUGACUGAUAAUCUUUUGUAACACUGCAUCAGUUGCAGCAUCAACUGAUGCUGUUGCUUCAUCCAGAACGAGAAUGCUGCUUUUCUUCAGCAAGGCUCUUCCAAGACAGAAUAGCUGCCUUUGACCAACACUCCAGUUUUCUCCAUUUUCAACCACUGUGAAACUGAAUACAUUAGUAGGUUUCAAGAAGGAAGUAUGUCCUUGUUUCGUAAAAAUUCUGAGGCUUAAGAUUCUACAAUUUUAUCAAGCAAUUUCUAGUCGAACCUGUAGAUUCUAGUUUUUCUGGCUUUCCGCAUAUUAUAUCACCAAGUUGGCAUUUGUCCAGAGCCUGACAAAAGGAGCCGUGACUACAUUAUUCACUGUUCAAAUCACUAGUACUUAAGUAAAUUUCAACUCUUUCCUUGAAUGCAUCAUAAAAACCUAUGUUCCAUUCAUUUAGACUUUGCAAGGCAAGUGCAAGAUCUAUUAGAGGGUUAACAAACUCUUUGUUCUUUUGGUUUGUUACCAUGCAAAAAUGUUGAUUUAUUAGCCAAUCUUGUGAAUUUAAGUGGACUUCUUUGCAUAAUAGUUUUUCAGUACUCAGUGCAAUAAGUACCUCCCAGAUUUCUGUAUCAGAGUGCUGUGCUAGUGGAUCUAGGUUUCCUCUAACUGUUCCCUCAAACAUUGUUGGAUCCUGAGGAAUAAUACUAAGCCUUGACCUCAAAUCAUGAAGACCUAUCUUGCAAAUAUCUAUAUCAUCGAUGCUAAUGCUUCCUUCUUGGGGUUCUACUAUCCGGAAAAGGGCCUGAAUGAGGCUUGAUUUACCACUUCCUGUUCUGCCCACAACACCGACUUUCUUACCUCCCGGCAAUGUGCAUGUUAUGUUUUUCAAAACAGAAGGGAGGUGUUCAGCAUAACGUAUCUGCAGAUAGGGGUAUGGUGAUAAUAUCAGUGGGUGGAAAUAUUAAGUUAAUCAAACUAGAAAAUAUGUAAACAAGUAUAUAAUAUUCCUGCUAGUUUUUGAGUAAAUAUAGCUUUAUUCCUUGCAUCUUUGACAUCUAUUACUACUGGAUGAUAUCCUACUGCGUUAUUGCAAACCUCAUAAUCGAGUCUAGUUUUAUCUUAGCCACAGGAUACUGUCUUUACCUGCAAAGUUUGGAAGGAAAUUGUACCAGUUUCUGGCCAAGUACUUGAUGGUCUGCUAUUUUCAAUCACAAGAGGUGCUUCACUGGCAAGGUUUGAGUACUGGAGAAUCCUUUCAACUGAUAUCAUUUUGUUUUCAGCAUUGCAAAUAUUCCAUAUAACGGAAGCUUGUAAAAUAUUCAAAUUGAUCCCAUAUGUUACUGCUAAUCCUGCAAUGCCUGUAGAAUAUAAAGCACCAUCAGUUUCCUCUGAUUUCUUUUAUGAAGUUGAAGUUCUUAACACCUGUCAUCCACCACUAAAUCAACAAAAAAAAAGAAAGGAACUUCUGAUUAUCCUGACUUUCUUAAGAAACAUGACUUUGAUAGAUUACGUGCUUUUACCAUUUUAGUUCCUACUGUGCUCUACAUAAAAACAUAAAGACAACCAGUUUCUGAUGCUUACUUGGAUUUAUAAUUCCUUCGGGGAGUGUGACUAGCAGAACAAGGGAGAAGGCAAAAACAAAAUUAGAUAGCUGAUUCAGUCUAAAAGAAAGCCACUCCAUUGCUGAUACAUUGUGAAACCAUGGCCUUGAAUGAUCAUCUAUGAAACAAAGGUUUGUGUGCGCAAAGCGAUCUUUUUGGUUGAAAGCACGAAUUGUUGCUGCUCCUGCGAGUGAUUCUCCAAAGUGAUGGAGAAUUGGAGCUCUUUGAACUCCAGAUAAACGAGCAAGCUCCCUUGCAGUUGGUAUGUAGUAUUGCUGGCAGUUUUAACAAAAAUAACUUUAAUUGACAUUUUACAAAAGAAACGUACAGUUUGUUUAUCUCUAAAUAAUAAUUUUACCAAUAUUUUCCCAAACUCCACUUACUGAUGAAUACAAAAUUCUUUUACAAGGUAGCUCAAUGAGAACUGCUUAUUUUAGCAGAAAACUUGGUUUUAUCAUCGUGUCUUCCUACCCUAACUUGACCACUAGAGUACUUUGUCUAAAACACGACAGCAACUUUGUUUUAAUUAUUUAGCAUUCCAAGAAUUAAACAUGUACUGCUUAUUUACCUGGUACCAAAUGCAGACUGCUGUUACUGGAAUAAAGAUGACAAAUACUUCCCAUGCAGCCUGCGACAUGACUGCAAUUGUCCCAAUAAGCUGAAUAAUGGAGAAUGCACACCAACCCAACUUGUUUGCCAUUUCCAAGUCUAGAACACUUUGAUCUGUUGAUACCUGUUCAUGUAAUAAGAUGUCUUGAUGAUUGAUCCAAUAGGAUUUCAUUAAUGAAUCAACUGAAUUUCAGCCUUAGGUUGUAUGAGAAAUAUAAGAGAAGAGUAUUAUUGAAUUGUUGUAUCUACAUUAUUACAAUGAGAGCCUAUUUAUAUACAUUACAUUCCAAUCCUUUUCCAAGCAGGACACUACAUUACAAUCCUUUUUCAAGUAGGAUUCUGUAUACUAUUCCUUCUCCUACUCAAUAUUCUCACUUCCCGCUCAAGAUGGUGCAUACAAGUCAUAUGUGUACCAAGCUUGUCAUGGAUGUAAUUAAUACGAGGAUUAGUGAGGGACUUGGUCAAGAUAUCUGUAAGAAAACCGAUAAGGACUGCUCCAGACGUAUGGGCGAUCACAGUUGAAAAGGAACAAACUAAAAGAGUGGUCAGUUGUCGCUGGAAAGUCGAUUUGUCGCUGGAAAGUUGUCGGAAACUGGUAUAAAAUAUAUGGGUCAUCUCGAAAUCAAGAGAUAAGUAGAUCUUCAAUAAGAAAGACACUGAAAAACUAGCCGGAACAUGCUCACACAUCGAAUUAUUAGAUUUGGUGGCUAAAAAGUGGUCGGAAUUUGGGAAAAAAUUAUAUGGAUAGGGUCGGAAUGGUGAGAUGACCUACUGAGAAAGAGAAAUUAUAUGGCUAGGGUUGAAAUGAUGGCACGACCCUACUGCAAAAUAGAUUGUAUAUGUAGGGUCGGAAUGACGGCAUGCAACGAGAAAUUAUAUGGGUAGGGUUGGAAUGACGGCACGAUCCUAUUGAAAAAGAGAGAUUAUAUGGGAAGGAUCAGAAAGAUGCAUGAAACUAUGCAAAUCAGAUUUGAGGAGUGACCGGAAAGACGCACGAAACUCUGCAAAUCAGAUUUGAGGAGUCACCGGAAAGACGCACGAAAUGAUGCAAAUUAGAUCUGAGUAGUCAUCGGAACAAUGCAUGGUGCUAUGCAAUUUGGAUAUCAGAAAGUAGUUCGAAAAGAUGCACGGUACUAUGCAAAUUAAAUAUGAGAAAUAGUUUGGAGAAAUGUACGGUUCUACGAAAUUAGAUAUGAGAAAGUAGUCACCGAAAAUAUUCACGGUGCUAUGCAAAUCAGAUAUGAGAAAAUAGUCAUCGGAAAGAAACAUGUUGACCCAAUCUUUUGCUAACAUGAUCAUUGGCCAGACGGGCAGCAUUUAUGAGUUAUAGCAGCCCGCCGGCAACGAAAGUUCUUUGAUUCUCUACCAAGAUCAUAGAGGCUUUGAUCCCACAUGAGAAAUAUAAGAGAAGUAUAUUAUUGAAUCGUUGUAUCUAUAUUAUUUAUGGACACUACAUUCCAAUCCUUUUCCAAGCAGGAUACUACAUUACAAUCAUUGUUCACGUAGGAUUCUGUAUAUUAUUCCUUCUCCUACUCAUAUUCUAACAAGUUCUAGAGGUUAAGACAAGAAUUUACACUUCACUUCACUUUUGUCAUGUUUUUAUCUUGACUAUCUUAUUAUGAUAUUUCUCUGUGGAUUAACUUGUGAGUUACGUUGGUUGAGAGGACAAAUUCAGAUACACCGGAAAACGCCUACUUGCUUUAUGCAGUUGUGAGAUAUUAGCUAACAUUCCAUUACUUAGCUUAUAUCAAAUAUGUUCCUCCAACUUAUAGCUUUUAUCAUGCCUGAUUUCUUCCUAUUUAUUCCUUUUUAACAUGUACCAAGGAUAUGUACCUAUCCGUGUAGAUGCAGGAUAAGCAAAACUACCCAACUAUUACUACAUAUGCAGGAUGAAUACUAGGCUAAAUCCACACAUCUCAUUCAAAUUAAGGGAUGUAAACUGCAGCUGAUAUGCUGUCCUCAUAUCCGAUCCCAAUCAACUAACUUUGAUUUACUUACUCGAUUUAAGAUUCUUCCUGUAGGAGUAGAGUCAAAGAAUGACAUAGGAGCACGAAGGAUGCUGUGCAGCAUGCUUCUAAAGAGCUUUUCUGCUGUUCGAAGGCCUGUUAUAACGACAAAUGAUGACCGGACUAGCACACAAAGAGAAC